UGAUAUUUGCAAGUCUCUUCCACAAUAUUGCAACAUGAGGUACUUUGAGGUCAAGAGACGCUUCCUCUUUGGUUUUCUGUUGCUUAACAUCAUGUUCCUUCCAUGCAGCUUGUUCGUCACCGGUGAAAAAAUGGAGAAACUAGUUCAUGCAAAAGAUAUAGAAGAAUUGUCUGUAGCCGUUACCAUAAAACAAAGGAAAGGCCAACCUUUACUCUUGGCAAAACUAAUUUCGGGAGCGCAGCCACGGGAACCUGCACCGCCGCCACCACUCCCUACAGCGCCCUCAGGGCCUCAUCCCUAAUGGACAUUCCUUGUACUUCAUGUGUUAGACAUCUCCUGAUGUGGCGUAAAUGUCAUAAAUAGAUUCUACUCAAAUUUCAUUUCAGAAGCAACCAUGCAUUGAAUAAAUGUAUUAACAGAAGACACAUGACACUUCCGGCCA